CAAAUAACGAGAAGGAUGCUAUGGACCCACAAAAUGCUACGUUGAUACCUACGAGGAAUCGACAUUGUAAAUGAAGUUGUGCAGUUUCAUCAUCGUACCCGGGUAAUCGAUCUCUUGCCAAUAAGACGUCAGGCUGCCCUGGAGAUCCAAACUACCAAGAUCGUGCCUAUACUUCUCCAAAAUAGUAUUUAUGCCAGUCGAGGUUCCGGCAAAGAUCAACCAAGAGCAGGAAGCAGGAGAAAUGAAACCACGCUGGCAAAAACCGCCAGGAUCAUGCUUCCACCUACUACCCGAUGGAGUCCGUUACAAGAGCAAUCUGGCGGAAUGGGAUUAACGGAAGUAGUGGCGAUGCAAUAGUAACAUGCGAGAAGUCUAACAAUGCAGUUACGGCCUGAUCAGCAUCUUUUGGCCGUGUCUUCAAAGACGUAUGUAGUUAAAAAAACAAAAUUGAAUAUUUGAAAUUUUGAUUUUUUUUCAAAACAUAAAAUCUUAAAAUAUCAAAAUCUUAAAAUCUCAAAUUCUUUAAAUCUGGAAAUUUUGAAAUCUUGAAAUCUUGAAAUCUUAAAAUCCUAAAAUCUUUAAAUC